GGCUGAUCUGGCUGGCUAGGCAAGUAUCCCCUCCCUCACUCCACCACGUGCAUCCCUCCCGAAGCUGCAUGCUCAGUUGAAGAGGAUGACCACCCCCAUUAGAAGAGGACAAUUCUUUGGUCAAGAGUAUAAUAGUAGCUGUGCUCCCCUGCUAGAACCUCCACACAAGCUGUUACAUACAGGAGGUGGACUGGUAUCACAGAAAGGCACAGGCUUCCAAGUGAAACUUGGCUUUGAAUCCCUGU
rnacentral:snRNA from 1 species